GCGGAUAUGGUUAAAUGGUAAAAUUUUCUUUGCCAAGGAGAAGAUGUGGGUUCGAUUCCCGCUAUCCGCA
rnacentral:tRNA from 1 species